AUACUAGCUUCUAUGGGGUGAAUGGGAGAUCAUGAAUGCUAAUGGUUAGGUUAGUGGCCUCCAUUGCACUUACGAGGAGUGCUCACCUGAGGGAGGAGCCUACAUCAUAGAAUUCUGUGAUAGAGGAUUGCGUUCGCGCAGCUCCUGC
rnacentral:snRNA from 1 species